UCAGCGUCUCCCCUUUGAUAACUUUAACUAAUGUUUUAUUUCGUUGUGUUAUUCAUACACCGCCAAUAGAGAGCGACAUUUAGCUUGUUAUCAGCCAUUAGCUUGUUGUUAGUUACCAUGCUCUCAGCCAACAUCCCAGCAGCAUACCGUUGAAACUUUAAAUCUCCUAAAGACUGGAUGCUGUACCUCAUGGCUGCUUGUUGCAUGUAACCAGAUUUGCAUUGAGAUAUCCACUGAAGGCAUGAAAACAUCUGCUGUCAUUUUACACCACAUAGUAAUCCUACAAUGCAGUGGCCACAGUGAGGAGCUCUGUCUGCCAGCCCUGGUCUCUGCUUCGGCUCUGCUCCCACACCGGGAAAUUCAUCCUCUGGUCUCUCCUCUGUCUGGGCACCUAUGUAGACCUCUCCAUCAUAGUCAAAAGGCUGCUGACGGAUCCUAGGGGGUGGCGUUGGGACUGGUUCAGGGAUAAUGUUUUUGAUGUCCUCGUCCAGCUUACCUCCCAG